AACCUUGUAGUAAGGCACUUUAGAGCAUAAUGAAAGAUUAAAGAGGCAUUGGUAAUUAUUUUUUUAACAUUCUGAAAGCUAAAGCUAAGCUAAUGUAUUUUCUUUUUCUUUGCAUGCUAUUUUUCUUCCUGAGAUUAGUUUAUUGUUCCACAGUUACCAAUGAAGUUUUCAAGUUGUUUUAAGCAUUUAACUUUCUUAAAACUAACAUCUUGUUUCACUUGCUGUUUUUAUGAGUAUCAUCUUAGUGGGGGGCAUUCAUUUAUUUUAUUUUUUUCACAGGACUUUCAUGUAAUGUCAGCUUGUUUCUUAAUUUUAAAUUGCAUCAAACUCACCUAUAAAUUUAAAGCUCAAUCAAUUUCUUACUGCAUAUCUUCUUUGUUUCAUGGUUGUUAUAUAUUGUAGCUGCAGUGUGGGGUUAAAGAAAUGAAACAGAUUAUUUAUUGACAAGUUGCCACCACAAUCAGCGUCUUCCCAUAUUCUCUCGAAUUACUCACAUCUCUAAUCAACUAAUACCAGGUAUUGAUUAUAUUCUUUAGGUUGUGGAUCGAAUUGGCAAGGAGCAUUGCAAAGUUAAUUAAGUUGAUUAUUAAUUGCAAGAGGUA